ensembl:miRNA
UGCAAGGGGCCCUUCAGAAGUCGCUGGGUUCAGAAGGCUCUUAGUCGUGCUUGAGAGUGAGCCUUUCGAAGAGAUACUCGCC